rnacentral:lncRNA from 1 species
UUCUAUUGUGAGUCCUGACUUGACGGAGGUCAUAAAAAACUCGUCAGACCCUAUCAUUAGUCAUAUGCUAGAUUAGCUUGACUCGAGUUCACUUGUGAAUCCCGUGAAAAUUUUUUUUCAAUAUUCACACUUACUUUGACCAAAGACUUUCUGAAUCUAGUCUCGCAAAUCGUAUAGGACUUCUCCUUUUCUAUCAAGAUUGAUAGAUUUCUUCUAGGUGCAUCCUACUCCUGACAGCAAACCUGAACCUACUGUAGCCAACAUACACAGCAAGGACCUGAAUGACUAGGGAUCAAAAAAAUGUGCAGUCAAAUUCAGUAGCCUCACUGCGAAUAGCCGAUGACACCACAAGUCAAAGGACCACUCACACCACUACAACAUCGAGACAACUACUGAUGAGUGAGUAGACAUCUAAGUGAUCUCUCAUGUUGGUCACACUCAGUACAAGUUGUCCUCAAACAACCACUUAUACUCUCAUCUCAGUGUCCCUAUACUGCAGACCCGAGACUCAUCUGCCCAUAAGAGAGGUGAACAGUGCAUCGAUCUUAAAUGGAUUGAUCACUGUCCUUUGUGAUGAUUCUUUGAUCGAGAGCAUUUAGAAACUAACCACUAAUAAUAUAUGUCUCAAAUUCUCAACACCUUUGAGAAUGUACAAAAUUAUCUUUGUUAAUUUUUAGGACAAAUCAUAGACACAUAAAUAUGAUUGAAAUAAAAAAUAUUUUAUUAAUAUAAAAAUAUUAUAAGUACAAAGGUAAGUUCUGGAAAUACAAAAUAUGUUAGCCAACAAUUGGCUUCUAGGGUACUCAUCUAACAAAUCGAUAUAACCAACUAUAACUAAACUCGAUCUUGAGCCCUUUUGACCUAAUCCUAAUUAACUAUUGAUUAGGUUCGAUCAAUUACUUAAAUUGAUAAGGACUUUAACC